rnacentral:rRNA from 1 species
UACAGAGGGUGCAAGCGUUAAUCGGAAUUACUGGGCGUAAAGCGCGCGUAGGUGGUUUGUUAAGUUGAAUGUGAAAUCCCCGGGCUCAACCUGGGAACUGCAUCCAAAACUGGCAAGCUAGAGUAUGGUAGAGGGUAGUGGAAUUUCCUGUGUAGCGGUGAAAUGCGUAGAUAUAGGAAGGAACACCAGUGGCGAAGGCGACUACCUGGACUGAUACUGACACUGAGGUGCGAAAGCGUGGGGAGCAAACAGGAUUAGAAACCCAGUAGUCC